rnacentral:rRNA from 1 species
GAUGAACGCUGGCGGCGUGCCUAAUACACGCAAGUCGAGCGAAUGGAUUGAGAGCUUGCUCUUAUGAAGUUAGCGGCGGACGGGUGAGUAACACGUGGGUAACCUGCCCAUAAGACUGGGAUAACUCCGGGAAACCGGGGCUAAUACCGGAUAACAUUUUGAACCGCAUGGUUCGAAAUUGAAAGGCGGCUUCGGCUGUCACUUAUGGAUGGACCCGCGUCGCAUUAGCUAGUUGGUGAGGUAACGGCUCACCAAGGCAACGAUGCGUAGCCGACCUGAGAAGGUGAUCGGCCACACUGGGACUGAGACACGGCCCAGACUCCUACGGGAGGCAGCAGUAGGGAAUCUUCCGCAAUGGACGAAAGUCUGACGGAGCAACGCCGCGUGAGUGAUGAAGGCUUUCGGGUCGUAAAACUCUGUUGUUAGGGAAGAACAAGUGCUAGUUGAAUAAGCUGGCACCUUGACGGUACCUAACCAGAAAGCCACGGCUAACUACGUGCCAGCCGCCGCAGUAA